rnacentral:misc_RNA from 1 species
GGCGCCCAACCUCCCACCCGUGACUACCUAACACUGUUGCUUCGGCGGGGAGCCCCCCAGGGGGCGAGCCGCCGGGGACCACUGAACUUCAUGCCUGAGAGUGAUGCAGUCUGAGCCUGAAUACAAAUCAGUCAAAACUUUCAACAAUGGAUCUCUUGGUUCCGGCAUCGAUGAAGAACGCAGCGAACUGCGAUAAGUAAUGUGAAUUGCAGAAUUCAGUGAAUCAUCGAGUCUUUGAACGCACAUUGCGCCCCCUGGCAUUCCGGGGGGCAUGCCUGUCCGAGCGUCAUUGCUGCCCUCAAGCCCGGCUUGUGUGUUGGGUCGUCGUCCCCCCCCGGGGGACGGGCCCGAAAGGCAGCGGCGGCACCGUGUCCGGUCCUCGAGCGUAUGGGGCUUUGUCACCCGCUCGAUUAGGGCCGGCCGGGCGCCAGCCGGCGUCUCCAACCUUAUUUUUCUCAGGUUGACCUCGGAUCAGGUAGGGAUA